rnacentral:rRNA from 1 species
GACAGAGGGUGCAAACGUUGUUCGGAAUUACUGGGCGUAAAGCGCGUGUAGGCGGCUUGGCAAGUCGGGUGUGAAAGCCCUGGGCUCAACCCAGGAAGUGCAUUCGAAACCGCUCGGCUCGAGUCCCGGAGAGGAAGUUGGAAUUCUCGGUGUAGAGGUGAAAUUCGUAGAUAUCGGGAGGAACACCGGCGGCGAAAGCGGACUUCUGGACGAGGACUGACGCUGAGAUGCGAAAGCGUGGGGAGCGAACCGG